ACGGGAGGCAGCAGUGAGGAAUAUUGGACAAUGGAUGGAAAUCUGAUCCAGCCAUGCCGCGUGCGGGAAGGCGGCCCUAUGGGUUGUAAACCGCUUUUGCAAGGGAGCAAUAAGGUGUACGAGUACACCGAUGAGAGUACCUUGGGAAUAAGCAUCGGCUAACUCCGUGCCAGCAGCCGCGGUAAUACGGAGGAUGCGAGCGUUAUCCGGAUUUAUUGGGUUUAAAGGGUGCGUAGGUGGCAGAUUAAGUCAGUGGUGAAAGGUGGCCGCUCAACGGUCAAAGUGCCAUUGAUACUGGUUAGCUAGAAUGCGGUUGCUGUGGGCGGAAUGUGUGGUGUAGCGGUGAAAUGCAUAGAGAUCACACAGAACACCGAUUGCGAAGGCAGCUCACAAAGCCGUGAUUGACACUGAGGCACGAAAGCGUGGGGAUCAAACAGGAUUAGAUACCCUGGUA
rnacentral:rRNA from 1 species